UUUGUGGCAUUAGCUGCAGUGGUUUACAUUCUCGUGCGACGGGAGUUUCUGUCACGUCAUGAUCGUGUCAAAGGUGCCACCGACGCAGGACUGGCGUACCGGAGGUGUACGAGAAGUGUGCGCGAGGGUGCGCCGCCCUGUGCCGGGACUCGUACCGGAGUUACGGUGUUGUUUCUGGGCUGCGCGAGUGACGCGCACUGCGCAUGCGCAGCGCCCGAGUGGUCGGAGACACGGCGGAGUCUGCCUAGUGACGCCCGGUGGUGCACACGCGGCGUGGAGGGAGUGGGGCGCUCGACGCCCUCCUGCGCCGGAGAGACUGCAGUGACCUCAUCUGCCACAGGCGCGACGGGCACAUGAGCGCGCCAUGCCGCGCUGCCUCAUGGCCAAGCAGUGGCGCGCGCGCGAGGCG